rnacentral:rRNA from 1 species
GACGAACGCUGGCGGCGUGCUUAACACAUGCAAGUCGAACGCUGAAGCUCAGCUUUUGUUGGGUGGAUGAGUGGCGAACGGGUGAGUAACACGUGAGUAACCUGCCUCCUUCUUUGGGAUAACGCCCGGAAACGGGUGCUAAUACUGGAUAUUCACUGGUCUUCGCAUGGGGGUUGGUGGAAAGGGUUUCUCUGGUGGGGGAUGGGCUCGCUGCCUAUCAGCUUGUUGGUGGGGUGAUGGCCUACCAAGGCUUUGACGGGUAGCCGGCCUGAGAGGGUGACCGGUCACAUUGGGACUGAGAUACGGCCCAGACUCCUACGGGAGGCAGCAGUGGGGAAUAUUGCACAAUGGGCGCAAGACUGAUGCAGCGACGCCGCGUGAGGGAUGGAGGCCUUCGGGUUGUGAACCUCUUUCGCUCAUGGUCAAGCCGCAACAAUGGUUGUGGUGAGGGUAGUGGGUAAAGAAGCGCCGGCUAACUACGUG